rnacentral:lncRNA from 1 species
AAAAGUUCCAAAUAUACAUUUUUUAAAGUAGCUAAAUUUGUAGCUAGGUGCUGUUUGAAAAAUAAGUUGCCAUGGUAGUCUGAAAAAUUGCUAAAUCUAGCAACAAAAUUGCUAAGUUGGCAUCACUGUAGGUAAUGCUGUAACUGACAAUUAACCUGUAAGUCUAUGUCGUUGUUUUUUGUUUGAAUUGUUUACGUGUUCGCUAUGCGGGGGAAAUGAUAAGACAAGCGGAGCUACGUGGCUAAUAACUGUUGUAACGGGGAUCAUUAUCAUAGCAACACACCUUUGGAGUGAAGGCAAUCCCGCGCUGUGUUAGCUAAGUUUUCAUGUCUUCGGGUGUAGUUCGCAAAGGUUGACGUGUGUAUGUUAGGAUGAUAACGUUAUAAUAAUUAAGGAUGAAGUGUGAAUUCAUGCCAGGAAUAUUAAGUGUGAAGUUUUGAUUUCCUCCCUUCUGUAAUAAGCAGCCAAUGAGUUCUCACGGAAGGUGAUAAUUCUGAGUAAAACUACAGAAUAAAGCCGCCAGUUAAAAUCAAGGAACGGUUGUGCUCGUGGUUACUGGAGGGAGCUACAAAUGCAUUUCCUGCUUUUACUUGUGCAGCGAAAUAAAACACACUCCACCAACCCUGAUGUCCUAGCCGUGUCUGAAUCCUGGCUUAGGAAGGCCACCAAAAAUUCUGAAAUUUCCAUCCCCAACUACAACAUUUUCCGUCAAGAUAGAGCUGCCAAAGGGGGCAGAGUUGCAAUCUACUGCAGAGAUAGCCUGCAGAGUUCUGUCAUACUAUCCAGGUCUGUGCCCAAACAGUUGGAGCUUCUACUUUUAAAAAUCCAC